UACGUAGGGUGCAAGCGUUAAUCGGAAUUACUGGGCGUAAAGCGUGCGCAGGCGGUGAUGUAAGACAGAUGUGAAAUCCCCGGGCUCAACCUGGGAACUGCAUUUGUGACUGCAUCGCUAGAGUACGGCAGAGGGGGAUGGAAUUCCGCGUGUAGCAGUGAAAUGCGUAGAUAUGCGGAGGAACACCGAUGGCGAAGGCAAUCCCCUGGGCCUGCACUGACGCUCAUGCACGAAAGCGUGGGGAGCAAACAGG
rnacentral:rRNA from 1 species